CUGCCGAUCGAAAUAUUUGCUAAGAAUUAUUACAUUUUAUUAUCCUUAUUUUACUAAAAAUAGAUGUAGGGAAAGUAUAAUAUGAAUCGAUGACGUUUUCGAUAUUAAGUUUUAUUAAGAGACAACAAUGGGACAAUAAUUUCCACUGAAUCACCGUAAUGCCUUGAAAGCAACACACUUUAAGCGAAUAUCAGUGCAUUUUGGUUAAGCUUUGGACGCAGAAUAUGCUUAUGCUUCUGAAGGGAUUAAAUUACUUAAAAUAAAUCUUCAUACUUCUUGAACUUUACAAAAAAAUGAAGCAACUGUAUUUUACGAAUCUCUUUCUCAAAGUGUGUGUCACACUUUUCCUGUUACUUCUACUAUUACAAGAAAUCGAUGCUCUUGCCUGUUAUUCUUGUGCAUUUCCCGUGUUCCACGCAUGGUGUUGUAUGGUUUUUCGAACUUGUUGUCCAAAAGAGGAUGUAGUAAAUGUAUAUGCUCUUUAUUCAGACAAAACUUCUGCUGCAACAACUCUUGCCCCUGAAGCGACUACAUAACAUUUAUAGCAUGAUUUAACAAACUUUGUUUUAAUUUUAUGUGGUUUUACACUGAUGAUCAAAUAAUAAUAAAUAAAUAAAAACAUUUUUGUACAAAUUUUUAUUUACGUUCCGUGAUAUAGCUUGUUAAAUUGUUAUAUUAUAGCUUGUUAUAUUGCAAUAAAACAAGUUUGAUGAUUAAUGAAUGUUGUCUUAAAUUUAUGUAAAUUAUGUGUUAAUCUGAUUGUAGAUGUAGUUAUUUUGUGAAAAAAUAUAAGUAUAUGUGUAA